ACCUCUUUGGUACCGAUCAACGUCAUAUCGUUGUUUGUAACAGUUGCGAAAAGUGUCAACAACGAUAUAUCGUUGCGUAUACGAUGACGCCUUACUAUUUGAAUCUCAUCUCAAAAUAACUUUAUAAAACAUUAUAAAUGGUUGAAUUUUUCUGCAGAAGUCCUGUGUGAGGUAUUCCACAAAUUGAAAAAAUUGUUUAGGGGUUUAACUUUUCGUUAUAUUCUGCGAUGAUUGAUACCGAGAUUGUGUAUGUGCUAAUGCCGUAAGAUAAAAAUUCGACACGGGAGAUUUGCUUGAAGCCUUAGUCACAGGUUGUAAAUAAUACUAUUUAGAAUAGAGUAUCUUCCUAUGUUUCACAAAAUAAUCUUACAUCGAUAGGACGAGAAUAAAAUUUUUAGUGGGCCUGUGCGAAGUUCACGCACAAUUUGUAAUCUGUGCAAAAUUAUAAAUUAUCUAUUGAUGUUAUACCAGCUCACUUGUUUUCGAGCAAGUAAUCCUCCUGGCGCUUACUGUGCAUCAUGGGAUUAUCAUUUAGUUUUGUGUUUUGAUAUUAGAAAUUUUGUUACAAAUAAUUGAGGAUGCAAUAUUUAUGCUUUA